UAUUACAUCUCGGGCAUUGUCAAAUGCCCAGACUCCUUCCUCUGCUGAAGAGAACUGGUUACUAUAACAACCACUGCAGCAGGGUUACUAACCACACACACACAAGCAAAACCCACAACCUCGAACUGAUGAAUGUUCCUGUGUUCACAGUUUUAUCAGACUCAAAACUGGAGAACACCAAGUCAGCAUGGGAGAAAUGGCAAGUUGACAUACGUCACAUCUGUACUACUUUCACAAGUUCCUUUUUGUCUAUGCAGAAAGGUAGGGUGUUCUUCUAAGUCAGAUAUGAUAUUUUACUGAGUAGUAUAAAGAAUUAGGAAGAAUGUUUU
rnacentral:lncRNA from 12 species